AUACUUACCUGGACGGGGUUAUUGGGCGAUCAAGAAGGCCAUGGCCUAAGUUGGUGACUUCCAUUGCACUUUGGAGGGGUGUCCACUUAAGAUCUGCCCAAGUGGCAGAGUCUACGACAUAAUUUGUGAUAGCGGGGGCCUGCGUUCGCGCGGCCCCUGC